ACCGAGGUGGUGAAAUUGGUAGACACGCUACCUUGAGGUGGUAGUGCUUACGAUAUAAAGCUUACGGGUUCAAGUCCCGUCCUCGGUA
rnacentral:tRNA from 1 species